rnacentral:rRNA from 1 species
CCUACGGGAGGCAGCAGUGGGGAAUAUUGCGCAAUGGGCGAAAGCCUGACGCAGCGACGCCGCGUGAGGGAUGAAGGUCUUCGGAUCGUAAACCUCUGUCAGCAGGGAAGAACGGUCACUGUGCUAAUCAGCAGUGAAUUGACGGUACCUGCAAAGGAAGCACCGGCUAACUCCGUGCCAGCAGCCGCGGUAAUACGGAGGGUGCGAGCGUUAAUCGGAAUUACUGGGCGUAAAGCGCUCGUAGGCGGUAUGUCAAGUCAAGGGUGAAAUCCCCGCGCUCAACGUGGGAACUGCCUGUGAAACUGGCAAACUGGAGUGUGUGAGAGGGUAGUGGAAUUCCAGGUGGAGGAGUGAAAUCCGUAGAUAUCUGGAGGAACAUCAGUGGCGAAGGCGACUAUCUGGAACAUAACUGACGCUGAGGAGCGAAAGCGUGGGUAGCAAACAGGAUUAGAUACCCUUGUAGUC